rnacentral:lncRNA from 1 species
GCUGCAACUCAUUUAAAGCCUUCUUCUCUAACGAGAAAGGUAAAUAUGCUAGAUAUACUUACUGGAGGUGUGAUGAGAUGAUUGAAGCUGUCAAUUUUCUCCUUGAUAAUAUUUAUGUACGUUUCGGCAACAAAGUUUAUUGACAGGUUGUAGGUAUCCCCAUGGGCACUAAUUGUGCCCCUUUAAUAGCAGACUUGUUUUUGUACUGUUACGAAUCACAGUUUAUGACUAAACUCAGUAAAGACCCGUCAAAAUUGCAUUUAAUUGAUAAAUUCAACAACACUUACCGUUAUCUUGAUGAUAUUUUUUCGUUAAAUAAUCAAGAAUUUUCUCAAUAUACUGCUGAAAUUUACCCCAAGGAACUUACUUUAAAUAAAUCUUAUUUAUACGGUAAUAACUGUCCUUUCCUGGAUUUAGAUAUUUCGGUUUUAAACGGGAAACUCCACACUAAAAUUUACGACAAAAGGGACGAUUUUUCGUUCCCUAUUGUUAAUUUUCCAUUUUUAGAUGGUGAUGUUCCUUUGGCACCAUCCUACGGUGUUUAUAUUUCACAGCUCGUUCGCUAUGCCCGUGUCUGUUGUGACGUUUUUGAUUUUAACGAACGCAAUCUAUGUAUUACUGGUAAAUUAUUAAACCAGGGAUAUCGUU